AUUCACCACUGAUUCAUGUAUGUUUGCGAUUUGGCCUAUAGAUUCAAAUCGCUAAGGAGAGGAAUUAACUAUAAUUGUACGAUUCUAAUAACACUAUUAGUUAAUAUAGUCAGCUUAAUUCUCUAGUUCGCAAUAGGAUGCAGAUGAUUUUGGGUGAUGUUUGUUGAUUAUUGGUUUUUAGUUUCUGAAUUCUAUUAAUUUCACGAAUUCCUUUCCCCCCAUGUUCUGAUAAAUAAUUCUGCAGCAGGCUCUACUGCUUGGUCCACUACUUGUUCUUGCA
rnacentral:misc_RNA from 1 species